UACACUUAUGUAUGCAAAACAAUAUACAAAAAUCAACUGUCUUUUUAUAUACUAGCAAUAACAAUUGUAAAUGUAAUGCAAAAACACCAUUGACAAUGAUGUCAACUGUCAGGCCUCUGAGCCCAAGCUAAGCCAUCAUAUCCCCUGUGACCUGCACCUCUACAUCCAGAUGGCCUGAAGUAACUGAAGAAUCACAAAAGAAGGGAUAUUUAAAUGGCCUGUUCCUGCCUUCACUGAUGACAUUCCACCACAAAAGAAGUGAAAAUGGCCAGUCCUUGCCUUAACUGAUGACAUUACCUUGUGAAAUUCCUUCUCCUGGCUCAUCCUGGCUCAAAAAGCUCCCCAACUGAGCACCUUGUGACCCCCACUCCUGUCCGCCUGAGAACAACUCCCCUCUUUGACUGUAAUUUUCCUUUACCCAAAUCUUAUAAAACGGUCCCACCCGUAUCUCCCUUGGCUGACUCUCUUCUGGAACUCAGCCCGCCUGCACCCAGGUGAAAUAAACAGCCUUGUUGCUCAUACAAAGCCUGUUUGGUGGUCUCUUCACACGGACGUGAGUGAAAUUUGGUGCCGUGACUCGGAUCGGGGACCUCCCUUGGGAGAUCAAUCCCCUGUCCUCCUGCUCUUUGCUCCGUGAGAAAGAUCCACUACGACCUCGGGUCCUCAGACCGACCAGCCCAAGGAACAUCUCACCAAUUUUAAAUCAGUGUGAGACAAACCCCGGCCAUAUCUCCAGCACACAAGAACUUCCAAACGCCUGAACCGCAGUGGCCAGGCGUUCCUCCAGAACCUCCUGCCCCAGGAGCUUGCUACAAGUGCCAGAAAUCUGGCCACCGGGCCAAGGAAUGCAGGCAGCCCGGGAUUCCUCCUAAGCUGCGUCCCAUCUGUGCAGGACCACACUGAAAAUCUGACUGUUCAACUCACCUGGCAGCCACUUCCAGAGCCCCUGGAACGCUGGCCCAAGGCUCUCUGACUGACUCCUUCCCAGAUCUUCUCAGCUUAGCGGCUGAAGACUGACACUGCCUGAUCGCCUCGGAAGCCCCUAAACCAUCACGGACGCCAAGCUUCGGGUAACUCUCACAGUAGAAGAAGACAGGAAUGUCAGGCCUCUGAGCCCAAGCUAAGCCAUCAUAUCCCCUGUGACCUGCACCUCUACAUCCAGAUGGCCUGAAGUAACUGAAGAAUCACAAAAGAAGGGAUAUUUAAAUGGCCUGUUCCUGCCUUCACUGAUGACAUUCCACCACAAAAGAAGUGAAAAUGGCCAGUCCUUGCCUUAACUGAUGACAUUACCUUGUGAAAUUCCUUCUCCUGGAUCAUCUUGGCUCAAAAAGCUCCCCAACUGAGCACCUUGUGACCCCCACUCCUGCCUGCCAGAGAACAACCCCUGGCUUUGACUGUAAUUUUCCUUUACCUUCCUAAAUCCUAUAAAACGGCCCCACCUGUAUCUCCCUUGGCUGACUCUCUUUUCAGACUCAGCCCGCCUGCACACAGGUGAGGUAAACAGCCUUGCUCACACAAAGCCUGUUUGGUGGUCUCUUCACAUGGACGCGAGUGAAAUCAACAAAACAGAAAACACUUAAAUAUAAAUUUAACAAAGCAGGUACAAGAUUUGGACACUGCAAAUUACCAGCAUUCAUAAAAUAAAUUAAACACAAAUAAAUGAAGAGAUGUACAAUGUUCAUCUAUUGAUCAUUCAAUAUUAGUAAGUUUCUCUCAAACUGAUCUAUAGAUUCGACACAAGCCCAGUCUAAAGCACACCAGAUAUAUUACUCCUCUACAUCUUCCUCCCCUUUUUCCUCCUCCUUCUUUUUGCUAUUAUUUUUGUAGAAAUGGAUAA